GAUGAACGCUGGCGGCGUGCUUAACACAUGCAAGUCGAACGAUGAAGCCCAGCUUGCUGGGUGGAUUAGUGGCGAACGGGUGAGUAACACGUGAGUAACCUGCCCUUGACUCUGGGAUAAGCCUGGGAAACUGGGUCUAAUACUGGAUAUGACUUCUCAUCGCAUGGUGGGGGGUGGAAAGAUUUAUUGGUCUUGGAUGGACUCGCGGCCUAUCAGCUUGUUGGUGAGGUAAUGGCUCACCAAGGCGACGACGGGUAGCCGGCCUGAGAGGGUGACCGGCCACACUGGGACUGAGACACGGCCCAGACUCCUACGGGAGGCAGCAGUGGGGAAUAUUGCACAAUGGGCGCAAGCCUGAUGCAGCGACGCCGCGUGUGGGAUGACGGCCUUCGGGUUGUAAACCUCUUUCAGUAGGGAAGAAGCGAGAGUGACGGUACCUGCAGAAGAAGCGCCGGCUAACUACGUG
rnacentral:rRNA from 1 species